UGAACGCUGGCGGCAUGCCUUACACAUGCAAGUCGAACGGCAGCGCGGGGCAACCUGGCGGCGAGUGGCGAACGGGUGAGUAAUAUAUCGGAACGUACCCUGGAGUGGGGGAUAACGUAGCGAAAGUUACGCUAAUACCGCAUACGAUCUAAGGAUGAAAGUGGGGGAUCGCAAGACCUCAUGCUCCUGGAGCGGCCGAUAUCUGAUUAGCUAGUUGGUGGGGUAAAGGCCUACCAAGGCAUCGAUCAGUAGCUGGUCUGAGAGGACGACCAGCCACACUGGGACUGAGACACGGCCCAGACUCCUACGGGAGGCAGCAGUGGGGAAUAUUGCACAAUGGGCGAAAGCCUGAUGCAGCGACGCCGCGUGAGGGAUGACGGCCUUCGGGUUGUAACCUCUUUCAGUAGGGAAGAAGCGAAAGUGACGGUACCUGCAGAAGAAGCGCCGGCUAACUACGUGCCAGCAGCCGCGGUAAUACGUAGGGCGCAAGCGUUAUCCGGAAUUAUUGGGCGUAAAGAGCUCGUAGGCGGUUUGUCGCGUCUGCCGUGAAAGUCCGGGGCUCAACUCCGGAUCUGCGGUGGGUACGGGCAGACUAGAGUGAUGUAGGGGAGACUGGAAUUCCUGGUGUAGCGGUGAAAUGCGCAGAUAUCAGGAGGAACACCGAUGGCGAAGGCAGGUCUCUGGGCAUUAACUGACGCUGAGGAGCGAAAGCAUGGGGAG
rnacentral:rRNA from 1 species